rnacentral:rRNA from 1 species
UACCCCACUAUGCCUAGCCGUAAAAAAUUAACCUACAAUAAUAAGCGCCAGGGUAUUACGAGUGCAAACUUAAAAUCCAAAGGAUUUGACGGUGUCCCACCCACCUAGAGGAGCCUGUUCUAUAAUCGAUAAUCCUCGAUAUACCUCACCAUUUCUUGCUAUCCAGUCUGUAUACCUCCGUCGCAAGCUUACCAUUUGAAUGCAAAAAAGUAAGUUUAAUGAUUAUUCAUCAACACGUCAGGUCAAGGUGCAACCAAUGAAACGGGAAGCAAUGGGCUACAAUUUCUAUAAUAGAACAUACGAAAUAUAACAUGAAAAACAGUCAUGAAGGCGGAUUUAGUAGUAAAAGAAGAAUAGCAUGCUUCUUUUAACAAGGCUCUGGGACGUGUACAAACCGCCCGUCACCCUCUUCAAUAGUAUACUCUAAUUUAUAAUCUUAAAAAACGUCUUAGAAGAGGCAAGUCGUAACAUGGUAAGUGUACUGGAAAGUGCACUUGGCAAAUCAAAAUGUAGCUUAAAUAAAGCAUCUCGCUUACACCGAAAAAAUGUCUGUUUAACCCAGAUCAUUUUGAGCCAACAAUCUAGUCCAUUAAUACUCAAAUACCCCCCCCCACCGAAUAAAAUUUUAAUAAAACAUUUUAACUUUAUAGUAGAGGCGAUCAAAAAAUUUCUUGGCACUUCAGAUCAAGUACCGCAAGGGAAAGAUGAAAUAAAAAUGAAAUAAAUUCAAGCAU